rnacentral:rRNA from 1 species
CGUGGGGAACCUGCCCCAUAGUCUGGGAUAACACCUGGAAACAGAUGCUAAUACCGGAUAACAACAGAUGAUGCCUAUCAACUGUUUAAAAGAUGGUUCUGCUAUCACUCUUGGAUGGACCUGCGGUGCAUUAGCUAGUUGGUAAGGUAACGGCUUACCAAGGCAAUGAUGCAUAGCCGAGUUGAGAGACUGAUCGGCCACAUUGGGACUGAGACACGGCCCAAACUCCUACGGGAGGCAGCAGGU